UUGAAGUUAUUCAAAUACAGACCUUAUUUCAGGUGUCCAUGUAACGAAUUUCUAGAAAACCAAGUACAAUUGCAUUUUUCUGGGUUAAUUAAUUAAAUUGUGCAGCUCUUUGACUCAAAAAGCUUGACUCAGGCUCUCCUAAUAUUGAGCAAUAAAAUACACUUCACAACGAGAAUUUCAUUAUUAAUUUUUAUUGUGCGGGAAUUUGUUAAAAACAUAUAAAAAUUUUACGACUCUUUAUUCCAAAUUUCGAAAGUAAUAGAAAACCCCGGAUAAUUAACUAUUGUUACAAACGUAUAUAAAAUUACAAAAUCCACAUAUAAAAUACGAAGGUAAGCAUUAUUUCCCAUAAAAAAAUGUACUCUUUGGUGACUUCUUGUGUGUGGGGAGCAGUCACGACAGCUUCUUCCCUAAUAAUCCCGUUAUUUUCCAUAUAUUGGGCUCUGUUGUUCAAUAACGCUUUUGGUGUCAAUCAAGCAGCAUGGGAUCAAUAUGCUUUCAGAUUAAACCCAUGGGAUCCACCGGGUUAUAAUGGACAUCCAAUGCAAAAAGAAAUGAGAAAAAUAGAAAAAACCAAUGAAAAACCGUCAAAGUUUUCUAAUAUUUAGAUAAGUACAAUAAAGUAUCAAGAAUU